rnacentral:rRNA from 1 species
UACGUAGGGGGCAAGCGUUGUCCGGAAUCAUUGGGCGUAAAGAGCGUGUAGGCGGCUUGCUAAGUCCUGCGUGAAAUCUCGGGGCUCAACCCCGAGCGGUCGUGGGGAAACUGGCAGGCUAGAGUGCGGGAGAGGAGAGUGGAAUUCCCGGUGUAGUGGUGAAAUGCGUAGAUAUGUGGAGGAACACCGAUGGCGAAGGCAGCCCCCUGGGUCAAGAUUGACGCUCAUGCACGGAAAGCGUGGGGAGCAAACAGG